rnacentral:rRNA from 1 species
UGGGUAACCUGCCUCAAAGAGGGGAAUAGCCUCCCGAAAGGGAGAUUAAUACCGCAUAAUAUGUUUAAGUCGCAUGACUUUAACAUCAAAGGAUUUUCUUUUAAGAAAUUCCACUUUGAGAUGGACCCGCGGCGCAUUAGCUAGUUGGUGAGGUAACGGCUCACCAAGGCAACGAUGCGUAGCCGACCUGAGAGGGUGAUCGGCCACAUUGGAACUGAGACACGGUCCAGACUCCGUAGGAGG